AGAGUUUGAUCCUGGCUCAGGACGAACGCUGGCGGCGUGCCUAAUACAUGCAAGUCGAGCGGACAGAAGGGAGCUUGCUCCCGGAUGUUAGCGGCGGACGGGUGAGUAACACGUGGGUAACCUGCCUGUAAGACUGGGAUAACUCCGGGAAACCGGAGCUAAUACCGGAUAGUUCCUUGAACCGCAUGGUUCAAGGAUGAAAGACGGUUUCGGCUGUCACUUACAGAUGGACCCGCGGCGCAUUAGCUAGUUGGUGGGGGAAUGGCUCCCCAAGGCGACGAUGCGUAGCCGACCUGAGAGGGUGAUCGGCCACACUGGGACUGAGACACGGCCCAGACUCCUACGGGAGGCAGCAGUAGGGAAUCUUCCGCAAUGGACGAAAGUCUGACGGAGCAACGCCGCAUGAGUGAUGAAGGUUUUCGGAUCGUAAAGCUCUGUUGUUAGGGAAGAACAAGUGCGAGAGUAACUGCUCGCACCUUGACGGUACCUAACCAGAAAGCCACGGCUAACUACGUGCCAGCAGCCGCGGUAAUACGUAGGUGGCAAGCGUUGUCCGGAAUUAUUGGGCGUAAAGGGCUCGCAGGCGGUUUCUUAAGUCUGAUGUGGAAGCCCCCGGCUCAACCGGGGAGGGUCAUUGGAAACUGGGAAACUUGAGUGCAGAAGAGGAGAGUGGAAUUCCACGUGUAGCGGUGAAAUGCGUAGAGAUGUGGAGGAACACCAGUGGCGAAGGCGACUCUCUGGUCUGUAACUGACGCUGAGGAGCGAAAGCGUGGGGAGCGAACAGGAUUAGAUACCCUGGUAGUCCACGCCGUAAACGAUGAGUGCUAAGUGUUAGGGGGUUUCCGCCCCUUAGUGCUGC
rnacentral:rRNA from 1 species